UUAAUCAAGGAAAUCACGGUU
rnacentral:miRNA from 1 species